rnacentral:misc_RNA from 1 species
GAUGAAGAACGCAGCGAAAUACGAUAAGUAAUGUGAAUUGCAGAAUUCAGUGAAUCAUCGAAUCUUUGAACGCACAUUGCGCCCGCCAGUAUUCUGGCGGGCAUGCCUGUUCGAGCGUCAUUUCAACCAUCAAGCCCCCGGCUUGUGUUGGGGACCUGCGGCUGCCGCAGGCCCUGAAAAGCAGUGGCGGGCUCGCUGUCACACCGAGCGUAGUAGCAUACAUCUCGCUCUGGGCGUGCUGCGGGUUCCGGCCGUUAAACCACCUUCAUAACCCAAGGUUGACCUCGGAUCAGGUAGGAAGACCCGCUGAACUUAAGCAUAUCAAUAAGCGGAGGA